rnacentral:lncRNA from 1 species
UUUGAAACAAGCCCACAGAUGAGCAGCAGAGACAAGGGCCAGUCUCAGUUGUGAGGUGAUGCAAAUGAUACUGUCGUCUUAAGUGGAGAUGCUCAGCCAUCCUGACAGAGGCUCAUCUCAGAGGAAACAUCUUCCUGGGGCAGGCCAGACAGGAACACAGAGCCAAAGGUCUUGCAACUCAGACUUGGAAAUUACAGGGUUCAUCCGGAAGGUGUGACAGUGCCUCGUCACAGCUAAGCAAAUAUCAAUGCUCAGAGAGUUGAAGCACCCUUGCCCAGGAU